rnacentral:rRNA from 1 species
UUGCUUUGUUNUCAAAGAUUAAGCCAUGCAUGUCUAAGUGCAGCCAUCCUAGGGUGAAACCGCAAACGGCUCAAUAUAAAAGUCUUAAUUUAACGGGUGACUCUUAUCCAAGAAACGGAUAACUGUGGCAAUUCUAGAGCUAAUACGUGCAAUUAAGCUCUGACGCCCAGUUCGCCGCGUCUACGGGCGGGUGAUCUGGGUUUAAGGGCGCAAUUAUUAGGUUCCACUCAACCGAGGAGCUUCCGAAACGACCUCCGCUCUCCGAGCGCGUCGCGUAGGUCGCGUAGUUGGUGGUGUGGUGACUCUGGGUAAUUUGCCUAGCGAUUAGGCCUCAGCGCCGUCGCUAUGCCCGUCGAGAGACUUACUCAUCACGGUGCGGAUUGUAGCCCAUGGGCCAACAAUGCCGAUCACGGGUGACGGGGAAUCAGGGUUCGAUUCCGGAGAGGGAGCCUGAGAAACGGCUACCACAUCCAAGGAAGGCAGCAGGCACGCAACUUACCCACUCUUGGCACGAGGAGGUAGUGACGAGAAAUAACGAUGCGAGACUCUUCCGAGGCCUCGCAAUCGGAAUGAGUGUAGCAUAAAUGACUGGGCGAGGAUCGAUUAGAGGGCAAGUCUGGUGCCAGCAGCCGCGGUAAUUCCAGCUCUGAUAGCGUAUAUUAAAAUUGUUGCGGUUAAAAAGCUCGUAGUUGGACCUACGGUCCUAUGUGGGAGGUAACUCCUCGCCGAGCGCACUAGCCCGAUCUUGGCUGUUCGUAAUCUUUUAGAGGGAAACUCCUUCGGGGCGAUGGCGAGGACGCGUGAUCGAUUACCUUCCGAGGAAGGGUCGCACCGUCUCCCGCCACGUUUCGUUCGCGAGGGCCUCCUAUUAGCUAGUGCGGGCGGUCUCGAUACGGAGCGAAAUGCGUUCGAAAAGGGAUAAUACCUCUCCGCUAUGGGUGCUCUUGAACCAUUCCUCGCGUGAUGCUCUUUAACGAGUGUCUCGCGCGGGUGGUGACGAUCGCUUUGAUAAAAUUAAAGUGCUCAAAGCAGGCUAUAUAAUUAGGCCUGAAUAAAGUUCGUCGUACGAUAAAACACGACCUCGGCUCUAAUAUUUUCGUUCUCGGUUUUACGGAAUCGAGGUAAUGAUUAAUGGGGACGGACGGGGGCACAAGUAUUGCGGCGCGAGAGGUGAAAUUCUGUGACCGUCGCAAGACUACCUACAGCGAAAGCAUGUGCCAAGAACGUCACCGUUAGUUAAGAACGAAAGUUAGAGGAUCGAAGGCGAUCAGAUACCGCCCUAGUUCUAACCGUAAACGAUGCUGACUAGCUAUCCGUUUAUGUCACUUUGACAUAGCGGGCCGCCCCCGGGAAACCCAAAGUCUUUGAGUUCCGGGGGUAGUAUGGUCGCAAGACUGAAACUUAAAGGAAUUGACGGAAGGGCACCACCAGGAGUGGAGCCUGCGGCUUAAUUUGACUCAACACGGGGAAACUCACCAGGCCCGUACACCGAAAGGAUUGACAGAAUGAAGUUCUUUCUUGAUUCGGCGAAUGGUGGUGCAUGGCCGUUCUUAGUUGGUGGAGCGAUUUGUCUGGUUAAUUCCGAUAACGAACGAUACUCUUUCCUACUAAUUAGUCGGUGGAUCGUUACCCCGGUCGGGUCGCUUUCCUUAACGUUGGCGGAGUGCGGUAUUUAGGGUCGGCUUACGAUUUCCCUAGGGAGCGGAGGGCUCGGAGUAAUCCGUGUUCCGAAGCUUACUACGCGGUUUUCCUCUGGGUCGUUCUUCUUUUGCCCUCUCCCCGACCGCUAGGGGGGCGCUUGAUUCGGCUGGGGGCGUCCGCCGAGUUAUCUUCUUAGAGGGAUUGUUGGUUCGAAGCCGUAUGAAAGAAAGAGCAAUAACAGGUCUGUAAUGCCCUUAGAUGUUCUGGGCUGCACGCGCGCCACAAUGGAGGGUGCAGCGUGUAUCUUCUUCCGAGAGGACGUGAGUAACCCGUUCAAACCCCUUCCCGCUUGGGAUUGGGGAUUGCAAUAAUUCCCCAUGAACUAGGAAUGCCUAGUAACCGCAGGUCAUCAUCUUGCGAUGAUUAAGUCCCUGCCCUUUGUACACACCGCCCGUCGCUACUACCGACUGAAAGGAUAAGCAAGGGCGUCGGACUGCUCCCAUAGCUGCCUAGCGUAGCGACGGAUCCGGCAGAAAGACGUCCGAACUUGGUCUUUUGGAGGAAGUAAAAAGUCGUAACAAGGUCUCCGUAGGUGAACCUGC